GACGAACGCUGGCGGCGUGCUUAACACAUGCAAGUCGAACGGAAAGGCCCUGCUUUUGUGGGGUGCUCGAUUGGCGAACGGGUGAGUAACACGUGAGUAACCUGCCCUUGACUUUGGGAUAACUUCAGGAAACUGGGGCUAAUACCGGAUAUGAGCUCCUGCUGCAUGUGGGUGGUUGGAAAGUUUCGGCGGUUGGGGAUGGACUCGCGGCUUAUCAGCUUGUUGGUGGGGUAGGGGCUUACCAAGGCUUUGACGGGUAGCCGGCCUGAGAGGGUGACCGGCCACAUUGGGACUGAGAUACGGACCAGAAUCCUACGGGAGGCAGCAGUGGGGAAUAUUGCACAAUGGGCGGAAGCCUGAUGCAGCAACGCCGCGUGCGGGAUGACGGCCUUCGGGUUGUAAACCGCUUUCGACUGUGACGAAGCGUGAGUGACGGUAAUGGGUAAAGAAGCACCGGCUAACUACGUG
rnacentral:rRNA from 1 species